CAUUCACUAACCUGCAAUUUCAUUCAUUUUCAGGUCCCUUCAAUCCUAUGAAAAUGGAACUGUAAAACCAAAUGAAAACAGCAGUUCAGAAGUAUUCUCUGGGCCAAGACAAAACCAGCCUGGAUUUUCUCACCCUUACUCACAGUGAACAGGGAGCGAGCAGAAGCUGCAGUUGGAAUGAAGAGCUUUAACAAAGGCAGAAGAAGAAGAUACCAGAGUGUCAGCGAUCCCAAGCCGCUCACACACUGAUGUUCAGGACACACAUGUGGGUGCCACAUGAGCAGGUGAAGCUGUGAUUCUAGCUGCGUGGAAAGGCAGAUAAUAAUUAAACAAUCAGAUGUGCUAAGUGCAUCACGCUGGGACAUCUCUUCGUUUCAGAUGGGUUGAGAGGUUGGAAACUGAAGGCAGUAAGUGAGGAAGUGGCCAAGUUACAGCUGUAAUCCUUAGGUUUUCCUCGUGAUCCCUGGAGCACCGCUGUGCCAGUCUUGUCCUGACACACUCCGGGAGCGUGCCAAACGCUUUUCAGCCUAAGGAGCGCAUUUGACAUCUUUCAGCUGCUAAGACUCGAGGAUU
rnacentral:lncRNA from 1 species